rnacentral:hammerhead_ribozyme from 1 species
AUUCAGCUGACGAGUCCCAAAUUGGACGAAACGCGCGUCCUGAAU